rnacentral:rRNA from 1 species
CCUACGGGAGGCAGCAGUGGGGAAUAUUGGGCAAUGGGCGCAAACCUGACCCAGCAACGCCGCGUGAAGGAAGAAGGCUCUCGGGUUGUAAACUUCUUUUGUCAGGGACGAAGCAAGUGACGGUACCUGACGAAUAAGCCAUGGCUAACUACGGGCCAGCAGCCGCGGUAAUACGUAGGUGGCAAGCGUUAUCCGGAUUUACUGGGUGUAAAGGGCGUGUAGGCGGGACUGCAAGUCCGAUGUGAAAACCACGGGCUCAACCUGUGGCCUGCAUUUGAAACUGUAGUUCUUGAGUACUGGAGAGGCAGACGGAAGUCCUAGUGUAGCGGUGAAAUGCGUAGAUAUUAGGAGGAACACCAGUGGCGAAGGCAGUCUGCUGGACAGCAACUGACGCUGAGGCGCGAAAGCGUGGGGAGCAAACAGGAUUAGAUACCCUGGUAGUC